rnacentral:tRNA from 7 species
GCCUCUAGCCUAGUGGUUAAGGGCUUCCGAGUAGCACUUCCAAGAUUUGGGUUCGAUCCCCUUCGGGGGCG